rnacentral:rRNA from 1 species
GAUGAACGCUGGCGGCGUGCCUAAUACAUGCAAGUCGAGCGAAUGGAUUAAGAGCUUGCUCUUAUGAAGUUAGCGGCGGACGGGUGAGUAACACGUGGGUAACCUGCCCAUAAGACUGGGAUAACUCCGGGAAACCGGGGCUAAUACCGGAUAACAUUUUGAACCGCAUGGUUCGAAAUUGAAAGGCGGCUUCGGCUGUCACUUAUGGAUGGACCCGCGUCGCAUUAGCUAGUUGGUGAGGUAACGGCUCACCAAGGCAACGAUGCGUAGCCGACCUGGAAGGGUGAUCGGCCACACUGGGACUGAGACACGGCCCAGACUCCUGCGGGAGGCAGCAGUAGGGAAUCUUCCGCAAUGGACGAAAGUCUGACGGAGCAACGCCGCGUGAGUGAUGAAGGCUUUCGGGUCGUAAAACUCUGUUGUUAGGGAAGAACAAGUGCUAGUUGAAUAAGCUGGCACCUUGACGGUACCUAACCAGAAAGCCACGGCUAACUACGUGCCAGCCGCCGCAGUAA